AUGAACGCUAGCUACAGGCUUAACACAUGCAAGUCGAGGGGCAUCAGGAAGAAAGCUUGCUUUCUUUGCUGGCGACCGGCGCACGGGUGAGUAACACGUAUCCAACCUGCCCUUUACUCGGGGAUAGCCUUUCGAAAGAAAGAUUAAUACCCGAUAGCAUAAUGAUUCCGCAUGGCUUCAUUAUUAAAGGAUUCCGGUAAAGGAUGGGGAUGCGUUCCAUUAGGUUGUUGGUGAGGUAACGGCUCACCAAGCCUUCGAUGGAUAGGGGUUCUGAGAGGAAGGUCCCCCACAUUGGAACUGAGACACGGUCCAAACUCCUACGGGAGGCAGCAGUGAGGAAUAUUGGUCAAUGGGCGUUAGCCUGAACCAGCCAAGUAGCGUGAAGGAUGAAGGCUCUAUGGGUCGUAAACUUCUUUUAUAUAAGAAUAAAGUGCAGUAUGUAUACUGUUUUGUAUGUAUUAUAUGAAUAAGGAUCGGCUAACUCCGUGCCAGCAGCCGCGGUAAUACGGAGGAUCCGAGCGUUAUCCGGAUUUAUUGGGUUUAAAGGGAGCGUAGGUGGACUGGUAAGUCAGUUGUGAAAGUUUGCGGCUCAACCGUAAAAUUGCAGUUGAUACUGUCAGUCUUGAGUACAGUAGAGGUGGGCGGAAUUCGUGGUGUAGCGGUGAAAUGCUUAGAUAUCACGAAGAACUCCGAUUGCGAAGGCAGCUCACUGGACUGCAACUGACACUGAUGCUCGAAAGUGUGGGUAUCAAACAGGAUUAGAUACCCUGGUAGUCCACACAGUAAACGAUGAAUACUCGCUGUUUGCGAUAUACAGUAAGCGGCCAAGCGAAAGCAUUAAGUAUUCCACCUGGGGAGUACGCCGGCAACGGUGAAACUCAAAGGAAUUGACGGGGGCCCGCACAAGCAGUGGAGUAUGUGGUUUAAUUCGAAGCAACGCGAAGAACCUUACCAGGUCUUGACAUCGAGUGACGAAUCUAGAGAUAGAUUUUUCCUUCGGGACACAAAGACAGGUGGUGCAUGGUUGUCGUCAGCUCGUGUCGUGAGAUGUUGGGUUAAGUCCCGCAACGAGCGCAACCCUUAUCCUUUGUUGCCAGCGGUCCGGCCGGGAACUCAAAGGAGACUGCCAGUGAUAAACUGGAGGAAGGUGGGGAUGACGUCAAAUCAGCACGGCCCUUACGUCCGGGGCUACACACGUGUUACAAUGGGGGGUACAGAAGGCAGCUACCUGGUGACAGGAUGCUAAUCCCAAAAUCCUCUCUCAGUUCGGAUCGAAGUCUGCAACCCGACUUCGUGAAGCUGGAUUCGCUAGUAAUCGCGCAUCAGCCACGGCGCGGUGAAUACGUUCCCGGGCCUUGUACACACCGCCCGUCAAGCCAUGGGAGCCGGGGGUACCUGAAGUACGUAACCGCAAGGAUCGUCCUAGGGUAAAACUGGUGACUGGGGCU
rnacentral:rRNA from 1 species